rnacentral:rRNA from 1 species
GGAUCCAAUUAUACUAGCGUUAAUACCCCAUCCCAUCAGAACUCCAAAGCUAAGCAUUCCUGACGAGAGUAGAACUAGGAUGGGUGAUCCCCUAUGAAGUCCUAGUGUUGCGUUCC